CAAUUCACUGAUUUGAUCUUGACCUUUGUAGCUAUGGUGAAUGAGAGAAUGGAGAAUAAGAAGAAGAAACAACUUCACUUUGUACUUUAGCGACAAAGAAGGAAGGAGAGAGUGAGGCAAGACAAGUUCGGAAUUUGUACAUAAUUUGUACUAUAGAACCCUAACCCUUGAGUUAAGAAUGUUGUUGUCUGUUUGAAACAUGAUUCUAAAAGACGCUAGGCGCUAGUUGAGUGGCAAGAUGGGGUGUAGCGCCUAGGCGGACUAGGUGGAUUUGAGUAAAUUUACAAUAAAUCUUUAAUACUUUGGUUAAUUUGAUGGAAUGAGAUAGAAGUUCAAAUGAUACAAAUCUUAGUAUUUUAGGAUAUAUUUUUCCAAGUUCAUAUGAAUUUAUAGUGCAUUUAUAGAGAAAUAAAGGUGCCAACUAUAUGGUGUAGAAAUCAUUUAAUCUUUGAAAACAAAGUAUUUUGACCAAAAAAAUAAAAUAUUUAUCAGCAAUUUAAAACAAUUAAAAAAAAAAAAAAAGGAAAUGAGGGAAGUUGAGAUGCAAAGAAUGGUGGGAUGUGGGGCAUGUUCAUGCUAGCUGUCCCCUUCUUUAUACAUAUCAGUCAAAUAGGAUUGCUAGGUGUCUAAUUUAAAUUGGACGGCAGUUCAAAAUAUAUUAAAUAUGGAACAUUGAGACCUGAUAGUGGUCACGUGGAGUGAGAAUCGAAGAGUCUUCUUCCUCUCGUCUUCUUUGCUGGAGUUCAUAACCCAGAUAGUUGUGCAUUUCUCCUUCCUCACUUAAAAAACAACAGAAAAAGGAAUCAAAACGGUCAAACCGCCUAGGCCGCCCAAACGCCACCCAGACUGCCUCGGCGCCCGCCUAAUCCUUAACCCGAUUUUCUUCCCGACUAGAGGUUAAUCCCAGCGGCUGACCAUCGCCUAACGCCAAGGUCGAUUUUCAGAACACUGGUUUAAAACAACAAGCUUGUUUCUUAACAUAGCAAAAGGUGGGUGCAUUGCUGUAUGUUCAGGUUGUGGAGACAAACCCUGGCAUGAAUCCUGACUUGUCAUGCACUAAUGCCAGCGGAAAAGCAGCAGAGUAUGGCGUCCUUAAAGAGGGCUACAAUUUUGGCCUUUCAA